GCGUUCGUGGUGUAACGGUAGCAUACUCGGCUCGUAUUCGAGAGGUCCAAGUUCGAAUCCUAGAGAGGGCA
rnacentral:tRNA from 1 species